AAAUAAGCCACAUCACACCUGUGCUCCACCCAUCACUGGAACAUGGACAUGCUUGAAAGACACGAGACAGACAGACAACUGAGAGGUGUGGAUAUAGGCACACAAAAACUAUUCUUGCAGCAAAUCAUAUGCCAUAAUACCACAAAAGUUCCAUGACCGUUUGCCUAGUAUACAACAGCCUACGUUAAUCAUGUUGGCCAAUGUAGACAUGUCACUGGCAGAACGCUGCUGACACAAUGGACAGUGUUGCGAAAUGUGCUCUGCGACUCCAGCCGAAUCACAACGACGGAUAUUGAGACAGAGAGCGUUUUAAACCACAUUAUAGCCUACAAAUAUCCUACUGUUUUACGUAGAGCCUAUGGCUCUGAAUUUACUCGUGACAAUUUGUGAGCGACAAAAACCAAGUCUAUACAAGAUUUUUGGCCGACGUGCGCAGCGUGGCUUUAAUUUAUAAACAAUAAGCGUUCCUGGAGCUGCUGGCCUUUUGAAAGGCGACAAUGACGAGGGACACGCAGCCCCCUCCUUAUGCUAUAAUCUACAUGACCUGAGCCCUAGGACCAUGCCCCAGGACUACCUGACAUGAUGACUCCUUGCUGUCCCCAGUCCACCUGGCCAUGCUGCUGUUCCAGUUUCAACUGACCUGAGCCCUAGGACCAUGCCCCAGGACUACCUGACAUGAUGACUCCUUGCUGUCCCCAGUCCACCUGGCCAUGCUGCUGCUCCAGUUUCAACUGUUCUGCCUUAUUAUUAUUCGACCAUGCUGGUCAUUUAUGAACAUUUGAACAUCUUGGCCAUGUUCUGUUAUAAUCUCCACCCGGCACAGCCAGAAGAGGACUGGCCACCCCACAUAGCCUGGUUCCUCUCUAGGUUUCUUCCUAGGUUUUGGCCUUUCUAGGGAGUUUUUCCUAGUCACCGUGCUUCUACACCUGCAUUGCUUGCUGUUUGGGGUUUUAGGCUGGGUUUCUGUACAGCACUUUGAGAUAUCAGCUGAUGUACGAAGGGCUAUAUAAAUACAUUUGAUUUGAUUUGAUUUGAUUCCAAGCACCGCCCUCCUUUUGAAGCUUCCAGUCAGUUAUUCAAACUCAAUUAGCACGACAGAGUGAUCUCCAGCCUUGUCCUCGUCAACACACACCUGUGUUAACAAGAGAAUCACUGACAUGAUGUCAGCUGGUCCUUUUGUGGCAGGGCUGAAAUGCAGUGGAAAUGUUUUUGGGGGAUUCAGUUAAUUUGCAUGGCAAAGAGGGACUUUGCAAUUAAUUACAAUUCAUCUGAUCACUCUUCAUAACAUUCUGGAGUAUAUGCAAAUUGCCAUCAUACAAACUGAGGCAGCAGACUUUGUGAAUUUUUUUAUUUGUGUCGUUCUCAAAACAUUUGGCCACGACUGUACAGCUUAUAUACACACACAUCUAUUCUGGCAACAACCCCUAGUUGAUGCUGAGAUGCUAAUAUGAUGAUAUGGAAAGAGGAAACACCUUCUGUCCAUAACACAACCCUCAGUGUGUAAAACAACCUUAAAUGCAGUGUACUGACAAAUUAACAGUAAGUUUCUGAAAAAUAGGCCAACCAACCCAAGGUCGGUAACUGGUUGGAUCAAAUCACAUUCUAUUUAACACAUGCUUCGUAAACAACAGCUGUAGACUAACAGUGAGAUGCUUCGUUACGGACUCCUCCCAGUAAUGCAGACAGACAAAUAUAGAACAAAAUAACAGUAACGAUAACUUAGCUAUACAGUGGGGCAAAAAAGUAUUUAGUCAGCCACCAAUUGUGCAAGUUCUCCCAAUUAAAAAGAUGAGAGAGGCCUGUAAUUUUCAUCAUAGGUACACUUCAACUAUGACAGACAAAAUGAGAAAAAAAAUCCAGAAAAUCACAUUGCGAGAUUUCUUAUAAGAGUCCGGAUUAGUCUCCCGUUCCUUGAAAGUGGCAGCUCUAGCCUUUAGCUCGAUGCAGAUGUUGCCUUUAAUUCAUGGCUUCUGGUUGGGAUAUGUAUGUACGGUCACUGUGGGUCUUUUGGGGAGGUAUGCGAAUUGGAGUGGGAUAGAUGUCACCAGGGGUACGCUGCUCCAGUCAGUGAGAAAACAGACGGCAGAGACAUUGCCUAAGUUUACUUUAUUUAUUUAGGACUGGCGGUUGGACAUGGUAAAGGUUGGUGUGUGUGUGGUUCUGUCAAUAGCAGGUUACAUAACAUGAAAAGAUAAACAAGCUCCACUCCCCCUCCAUAGAAACUUAAAUUGGGUCCUGGAUCUUCGUAUAUAAUCCAAAGAACAGAACUCUGGUAAAUAAACAUACAUUUUUACACGACAUAAAAGGUGAUAAGGACAAACCUAUUAAACCAAUACAGCUCAAAUAUUGAAAAUAUAAAAAACAAAAACAACUUUUAACUAGGACACACAACUGGAAAUAAACUGAUAAAUUGCUUGACAGGCUUUAAAUACAAACUAGAAGUGUGAAUGAGCCAAUCGGGGCAGUCCUGAUAAUUAGUGACAGGUGUGUGAUUGCAUGAGAGUGUCAACAGGUGAAAUCAACUUGCCUAAUCAAGUCCAUCUCAGCAGUAUGCUGCUCCACUCUGGGUGCUUUUGUACAGUCUCACUGUCAUUGUUGGUUACAGAUGUAUGAAUGGGCUGCCUUGGCUAACUAAGCUGUGUCAGUGUGCGUGUGUGCACGCACGUGUGCAUGCGCGGCUGAAGGGGAUAUAGCUGAUUAAAUUACCUGUCUGUAGGGAACCAGGAGGUCGCCACGCCAGAUAAUUUAGUCAGAAGACAUGCUGUCAUUGGUGUGUGUGCGUGUGUGUGUUGUGGGGGGGAGUCCCCUGUGGUGAUAGGGGGUAUCCAGGAUGAAGUCAUCUCUCAUGGGAUUCUUAAUUAGAUCGCCCCCCCCCCCUUCUCCUACUGUAUUCCCUUAAAUUCUCUCUCCCCCUUCCCUCCCCCUCUGCUUCCCUGCAAGACCAGAGCAGACAUAAAAGAACCAGACUGACACACAUACUCAUCCUUUACACCCUUUCUAUAUUACUGACUCCUGCCUGCCUUGACCUGUCGUUUGCCUGCCCUGGUGAUUGUAAUAAACUCUUGUUACUUCUA